rnacentral:rRNA from 1 species
GACGAACGCUGGCGGCAGGCCUAACACAUGCAAGUCGGGCGAGCGGAGGCCGGGUGAUUAAUGUAUGGGGAUCUGCCUGAUGGCUGGGGUUAACUACUGGAAACGGUAGCUAAUUCCGCAUACCCUCAGAUGAACCCAUUUGGGCUUAGCUAGUAGGUAAGGUAACGGCUUACCUAGGCGACGAUCCAGAGCUGGUCUGAGAGGAUGAUGAGCCAAACUGGCACUGAGACACGGGCCAGACUCCUACGAGAGGCAGCAGUGGGGAAUAUUGCAGAAUGGGCGCAAGCCUGAUGCAGCCAUGCCGCGUGGAUGAAGAAGGCCUUCGGGUUGUAAAGUACUUUCAGUCGUGAGGCGUUACCGACAGAAGAAGCACCGGCUAACUCCGUGCCAGCAGCCGCGGUAAUAC